CAAGCAAUUCUUCCUGCCUCGGCCUCCCAAAGUGCUGGGAUUGCAGACAUGUGCCACUGCACCCAGCCAACAGAGAAGGAUUUUAAUAAUCAAAUGGAUAGGCUGACCCAUUCUGUAGAUACCAGUCAGAUUCUUUCCCCAGCCAUCACUGUCAUUACCCAACGAGCUCAUGAAUGAAAUAGCCAUGGUGGCAAGGAUGGAGAUUACACAGGGGCUCAGCAACAUGAAUUUCAACUCGCCAAGGCCAACCUUGCCCUCAGUAUGGCACCAUUCCCUGGAGUGAUCAGUCAGCUACCUGGGGACAGGUUGAUGACAUUGGAUUGCUUCUAUCAUAGAAGGGGCAGCGGUUUGUCCUUAGUAAAACAGACACUUACUCUGGAUGUGGAUUUGUCUUCCCUGAACACAAUACUUCUGCCAAAACUACUAUGUGUGGACUUACAGAAUGCCUUAUCCACCGUCAUGCUAUUCCACACAGCAUUGCGUUCUGAUGAAAGAAUUCAAUGCUACAGCCAAGGAAGUGCAACAAUGGGCUUAUGCUUAUGCUUAAGGAAUUUUUUGGUCUUACUGUGUUCCCCACUGUAUCCAGAAGCAGCUGGCUUGACAGAGCCAUGGAAUCGCCUUUUGAAGAAUCAGUUGUGGUACCAGCUAGGGGGCAAUACCUUGCAGCGCUUGCAGGAAGCUUCUCCAGAAGGCUGGAAAUGCUCUGAAUCCGUGUCCAAUAUACGGUGCUCGCUCUCCCAUAGCUGGGAUUCACAGAUCCAGGAAUCAAGAGGUAGACAUGGGAGUAGUGUGACUAUGGUUACCCUUAGUAACCCAUUAGCAAAAUGUUUGCUUACUGUUCUCAGGACUUUAUUCUCUGCUGGCCUAGAGAUCUCGGUUCCAGAGGGAGGAAUGCUCCUGCUGGGAGACACAGUGUUCCCAUUGAACUGGACUUAAGACUGCUGCCCAGCCAUUGUAGGCUCCUUGUGCCUCUUGAGUCAACGAGCUAAGAAGGAAGUUACGUUGCUGGUUGGGGCGGCUGAUUUGCAUUACCAAGGGGAAACUGGACUGCUACUCCACCUCUCCACAAAGGAAGACUGUCUGGAAUACAGGUCACUUAGGAUGCCUCAGCAUUACCACACCUUGUGAUUAAGGUUAGGGUAAAACUACAAAAACCCAAUCCAGGCAGGACUACUAACCACCAGAUCCUUCAGGAAUGGAGGUUUAGGCCACUCCACCAGCACCAAAUAGGAUGGCAGGCAAGUGCAAUGAUUUCUCCUAGCCUCCUAGGAGGCUUUAAAAAUUAGGUGCAGUUUUUUCUUACGAUGACCAUUUGGACUCUGGUGCCUUCAUGUGGUAUCAUCAAUAAAUAGCAAGAUCUUGGAGAGAAACGCCUGAAACGGGACGCUGGACCAUAGGCCACAGUCAAAAUUAAGUUCAUGGAAAAUAAAGAAAUGUUAAAAAAAGUUAUUUAGCCAGGUGACCUUGGGAAACGUCCUUGUCAUCUCUGAGCUUCAACAGCAUCAAUGUUCUUCAUUUAUGCUGGGGACCAGAUCAGCCCUGCACAACUGCCAUGAGGAUAUAAAAGGAGAAGACGUGGCCCAGGGUCUGGAGUUGUGGCUGGGAUGCUGAAGUCUCCUGAAGUCAAACUCCAUAUCUUGUUAACUCCUAUGUACCCAGACUUAACACAGAAGCAACAAAAGUUAACAGGCUACAGGCAAGCGGAAUUAACACUGGGCAGAGCUUUGAGUGUGGAGAUUCCCUAAAGACCUGAAAGUGGAACUACCAUUGGAUCCAGCAGUCCGACUACUGGGAUCUACCCAGAGGAGAAGUCAUCAUACAAAAAAGGGGCUUGCACGCGCAUGUUUGUAGCAGCGCAGUUUGCAAUUGCAAAAACGUGGAGCCGACCCAAAUGCCCAUCAACCAACGAGUGGAUAAGGAAACUGUGAUACGUACACAUGAUGGAAUACCGCUCAGCCGUAAAAAGGAAUGAAUCAACGGCAUUUGCAGGGACCUGGAUGAGAUUGCAGAUGAUUAUUCUUUUUUUGUUUUGUUUUGUUGUUAUUUUUAACCCUCCAAUCAGAUGUCUUGUGCUUCCAUGGAGAUGAUUAUUCUAAGUGAAGUAACUCAGAAAUGAAAAACCAAACAUCGUAUGUUCUCACAGAUAUGUGGGAGCUAAGCUAGGAGGGUGCAAAGGCAUAAGGAUGAUACAGUGAACUUUGGGGACUUGGGGAGAAGGGGAGGGGGUGAGGGAUAAAAGACUACAGGUAGGGUACACUG